GUAUUACUCCCUCCGUUCGGAAUUACUCGUCCAAGAAAUGAAUGUAUCUAGAUGUAUUUUAGUUGUAGAUACAUCCAUUUUUGUGACAAGUAAUUCCGAACGGAGGGAGUAGUUC
rnacentral:pre_miRNA from 1 species